rnacentral:rRNA from 1 species
GACGAACGCUGGCGGCGUGCUUAACACAUGCAAGUCGAACGGUGAUCUUGGGAGCUUGCUCCUGGGUGAUCAGUGGCGAACGGGCGAGUAACACGUGAGUAACCUGCCCCUGACUCUGGAAUAACUUCGGGAAACCGAAGCUAAUACGGGAUAUGACACAGAGCCGCAGGGUUUCUGUGUGGAAAGUUGUUUCGGUUGGGGAUGGACUCGGGGCCUAUCAGCUUGUUGGUGAGGUAAUGGCUCACCAAGGCGACGACGGGUAGCCGGCCUGAGAGGGCGACCGGCCACACUGGGACCGAGACACGGCCCAGACUCCUACGGGAGGCAGCAGUGGGGAAUAUUGCACAAUGGGCGAAAGCCUGAUGCAGCGACGCCGCGUGAGGGAUGAAGGCCUUCGGGUUGUAAACUUCUUUCAGUAGGGAAGAAAAAAAUGACGGUACCUACAGAAGAAGCGACGGCUAAAUAUGUGCCAGCAGCCGCGGUAACAC